ensembl:lncRNA
UUUGCAUCCAUAUGACUUUACAUAUUUAGGUAACUUUACAUACAUGGGUGAAGAAUGGUCGUAGCCAAUAGCAGCAAAGUCAGCUGUAGCUGUAGGAAUUUCUGCAUGGUGCCACAGGCAUCGCUCAUUAUCCCUGCACUGUAGCUACUGAGCUCAUCUCUUUCCCAUCAGUCUUGAAUGAGUGAUCGUCAGAACCCGUGAGGUCACUGAGGAGUGUAUCUUGCUUUAUGUCCUACAAAGAGGAAGAGAGGUUUGCGAAGAGAAGUGGUCAGCUACUUAAGAAGAAGAGAGGAGAGCAGUAGAGUCUGGUCACACCUUUAGGCUCCAGCUGAAGAUGAGCACUUUGUUGCAUGGGAAGGGCUCUGCUUGCAACGUGAUGUCAUAUUAUGGAAAUAAAUACUCUUGCCUAGAGACAACUAAGCAGAGCAACUCACUGAGGACAUCUGAGAAUGGCUGCAACAUGAGAGAUGCUAAAUGAUGCAGUGGAUUUUUAUAUCUGUAUGUGUUAAAUUGACAUUUUGUGAAGUGCACACCUUUGAAGAUGAUCUGUAAGGUAUUAGCUCCACAACCUGCAAUUCUGUUUUAUCCUUUGUUUUCCACACUAUUUUUCAUGGCAGUGGAGCUCUUCUCUUGCAGGUUCAUCCAUUGUUCUAUAAUGGCAUUAUAAGGCAAAUUAGAAAAAAAAAUCUUUAAGAGUUUGAACAACAGAGAAAUGCAGUACUCAGUACAUCACAACCACUGGUUUUAGGUUUGUGCCUGUAAAUAUGGCUCUGUUUCCAGUAUUAUCUCAUGCGUACAUUUGACUUUCUAUGUUAAUAGUGAAUGCCAUUUAGCUUAUCCUUUAGGUCUUUUCUGUUAGAAAGAUGUCUUGCAAGUAGAAAAAAUUGUAUUUAGUUUCCUCUGUCACAUAUAUCUAUAUCCAUUUCUGCUUCCAUCUUCUAGCCAGAGAUACUAGAAGACAGGUGCAGUACUUUUUCUCAUGUUUAUUGCUUUGAGAUGGGGAGACUGAAUUGGUAGUGUAGCGGUCUGUGCUGGCUUAAGCAGGCUCUUGUAGCUGCUCUCCUUGGCUCCCUGUGCCCAGUCUGUAGGGGAUCCUGAUGUACACAGGCAAAUGUAAGAACAGUUUCAUAUCUCACUGGAAACAAAAGUCAUGCUGUAGUGCUAAACCUAUUGUUUUGUUUUUGUUUGCUUGUUUUAAUUUUCUGUUAUAACUUUUAUUUCUUAAGCUUCAUUUCUAGGUGAGGAGACAAAUCUGGUUUGUCUAAAUCCAAGGCUUUUCUGCCUCUCAAAGUCAAUGAAAAGAAGCCAAUCCCAAGCGAGAAGAAGACUUUUAUUCCUGAUAGCUGAAAUCCCUGAGGUUGUCCACUUCUUUUCUUUACUCUCCUUUAUUUGGAGUUUUUUUUUUUUAGGUUUUGCUUUGUUUUUUUUUUUUUAACUUUAUUUUCCCUCCUAAACCACCCAGACCUUACAUAAACCCCUCUGAACACCCAUAAGUGCCUUACCAGAAAAAAAAAAAGACUCAAUUGUUAAGAAACUAGCAACAUGGAAAAUAAAAUAUGCUUCUUUAGAACA